AGGAAAUCUUGGAUGCGUGAGGACCGUGGUUACCUCUUUGGGUCAUGGAAAGCUGCUGAGAGUGAGGGCGGAGGAGUGACAGCUCUUGAAUUGAGUCCAAGAGAGAAAAAGGAAAAAGACAGGAGCAGGGAGAUCCACUGGAUUCACUGGAAACGGCAGUGACACCGGCUCAACCAUACAGAGUUCCAGCCACAUCUGACACGAGACGACAGGUCUAGCCUAUGCUCAAAUAAGGGGAUGGCGCCAGGUUUACACUGCGGCAGCCUGGCAGGGCUGCCCCUCCUCCGUAACCAUUGCCAGCUACUCACCCUCACAGUGCCUUGUGACAGCCCUGGCUGCCCGGAGCUGCUCAGCCGAGCAGGUUGCCAUGGAGACGAGCCCGUGUAGGCUUCCCCAUCAGUUUGCCAGCAACUUUUCAAGAAGGCUUGGGAGCCCCGGGGUUCCUGUGCAGGCGCAGGCGGUGCAGGAAGCUGGAGAAGGGACUGAUGUUUUGAUUCCUCUUGCUCUCAUGUCCCCUUCCCCUUCUGCCAUGAAGAACAGCUCCUUCCAGACGCUGCUGGCUCCCUUGGGCUUCCCAGCCCGCAGAACCAUGCAGCCAAUAAGCAUCGACUGCAUAUGAGUUGCUCAGCCGGGGGUAUUUUGUUAUCGAGGCAGAAUUAGAAUAUGGACCAAAACCUUGUGUGUCUCAGUUGAGUGUGUAUACCCGAGGAGGCCAGAGAUGUCAGAUCCCCCCUAGAGCAGGAGUAACAGUGCUUGUAAGCUGCCUGACACAGGUUCUGGACCUUCUGAUGAGCAGUCCACAUUCUAUAACAGCAAAGCUGUCUCUCCAGUUCCCCAGACACGUUUUAUAUUGCUGGUGGCUGAGUUUGUGUACACUUUAAAAUUCGACGAGGAAGUGGGGUGGGGCUUGAGCAGGGGGAUGCCAUCGCAUCACGGGUGUGUGGACACAGUAGGGGGCAGGGUAACAUGGCCUGACACAAGCCAUGUAAGCCACGCAUGGAGUCAGAGAGCUAAAUGGCACACGGGAGCCAAAGGCGUCCUGGGAACCACACUUCAGUGGGGAUAGUUGCUUAGGAGCAAGUGAACAGCGCUCACUGAGGCUGGAAAUGGAUCUUGUACUGGGCAGCAGACCCAGGGCCUGAGCAAGCCAGACAAGCACUCUACCACUGAGUACACCGUACACCUUGGUUUUCUAUGUAGAAGUUGUGUGUAAAGAAAAGAACCUUGUAACUAUAGGCACCCAGCUGGUGUGGCUGUGAGCCUGUAUCCCCCGUCCCUUUCCUGGGUAUUCAGUUAAAUCCUCUUCCCCCUGGCUCUCCAGGCAACCUCAUGCCUUAUGCCCGCCUCUCUGAUAGAGUUAGUAGAGGCCUCUACUUUCCCAGCUGCCUAGCCAUUCUGCCACAGAGAGUAAGCCGGCUGUGUAUCCAAACAGCUGAUUGGAUCUCAGAAGCCAGCAGGUGCAGGCUUUGAUUCAAAGAUUCAAGGUCACACCCUUCCACCUCCCAGUUCUCCCCGCCCCCCACCACCCCCAGAGCACGGAGCUCUCCUGACUGGAAGAACUAUCUCUAAAAGCCUCUCCUCCCACCCCACCCUGGCAACUCUCUCAGAACAAUAAACUGAAUUGUUUAAAUUUAAUUUGUUAGACGUCUGAUGUUUCAUUUGAAAAAUAUCUAAUGAAUAAUAACAUUUGAUAAAUAAUAAAAUUUAGCAUCUAUUAACUCGGGCUUAAAUAAUAAACAGUUUAAUUGCUU
rnacentral:lncRNA from 1 species